UACGGAGGGUGCAAGCGUUAUCCGGAUUCACUGGGUUUAAAGGGUGCGUAGGUGGGCAAGUAAGUCAGUGGUGAAAUCUCCGGGCUUAACCCGGAAACUGCCAUUGAUACUAUUUGUCUUGAAUACUGUGGAGGUCAGCGGAAUAUGUCAUGUAGCGGUGAAAUGCUUAGAUAUGACAUAGAACACCAAUUGCGAAGGCAGCCAGCUGGGCCAUUAUUGACGCUGAGGCACGAAAGCGUGGGGAGCAAACAGG
rnacentral:rRNA from 1 species